rnacentral:rRNA from 1 species
AUUGAACGCUGGCGGCAGGCCUAACACAUGCCAGUCGAGCGGUAGAGAGAAGCUUGCUUCUCUUGAGAGCGGCGGACGGGUGAGUAAUGCCUAGGAAUCUGCCUGGUAGUGGGGGAUAACGUUCGGAAACGGACGCUAAUACCGCAUACGUCCUACGGGAGAAAGCAGGGGACCUUUGGGCCUUGCGCUAUCAGAUGAGCCUAGGUCGGAUUAGCUAGUUGGUGGGGUAAUGGCUCACCAAGGCGACGAUCCGUAACUGGUCUGAGAGGAUGAUCAGUCACACUGGAACUGAGACACGGUCCAGACUCCUACGGGAGGCAGCAGUGGGGAAUAUUGGACAAUGGGCGAAAGCCUGAUCCAGCCAUGCCGCGUGUGUGAAGAAGGUCUUCGGAUUGUAAAGCACUUUAAGUUGGGAGGAAGGGCAGUUGCCUAAUACGUAACUGUUUUGACGUUACCGACAGAAUAAGCACCGGCUAACUCUGUG